rnacentral:rRNA from 1 species
GACAGAGGGUGCAAACGUUGUUCGGAAUUACUGGGCGUAAAGCGCGUGUAGGCUGCUCUGCAAGUCGGAUGUGAAAGCCCUGGGCUCAACCUAGGAAGUGCACUCGAAACUGCGGAGCUGGAGUCCUGGAGAGGAAGGCGGAAUUCUCGGUGUAGAGGUGAAAUUCGUAGAUAUCGAGAGGAACACCGGUGGCGAAGGCGGCCUUCUGGACAGUGACUGACGCUGAGACGCGAAAGCGUGGGGAGCAAACAGG